ACUGAGACACGGCCCAGACUCCUACGGGAGGCAGCAGUGGGGAAUAUUGCACAAUGGGCGAAAGCCUGAUGCAGCGACGCCGCGUGAGGGAUGACGGCCUUCGGGUUGUAAACCUCUUUCGACAGGGACGAAGCGCAAGUGACGGUACCUGUAGAAGAAGCACCGGCCAACUACGUGCCAGCAGCCGCGGUAAUACGUAGGGUGCGAGCGUUGUCCGGAAUUACUGGGCGUAAAGAGCUUGUAGGCGGUUCGUCGCGUCGUUCGUGAAAACUUGGGGCUCAACCCCAAGCUUGCGGGCGAUACGGGCGGACUAGAGUACUUCAGGGGAGACUGGAAUUCCUGGUGUAGCGGUGAAAUGCGCAGAUAUCAGGAGGAACACCGGUGGCGAAGGCGGGUCUCUGGGAAGUAACUGACGCUGAGAAGCGAAAGCGUGGGUAGCGAACAGGAUUAGAUACCCUGGUAGUCCACGCCGUAAACGGUGGGUACUAGGUGUGGGUUUCCUUCCACGGGAUCCGUGCCGUAGCUAACGCAUUAAGUACCCCGCCUGGGGAGUACGGCCGCAAGGCUAAAACUCAAAGGAAUUGACGGGGGCCCGCACAAGCGGCGGAGCAUGUGGAUUAAUUCGAUGCAACGCGAAGAACCUUACCUGGGUUUGACAUACACCGGAAACCUGCAGAGAUGUAGGCCCCCUUGUGGUCGGUGUACAGGUGGUGCAUGGCUGUCGUCAGCUCGUGUCGUGAGAUGUUGGGUUAAGUCCCGCAACGAGCGCAACCCUUAUCUUAUGUUGCCAGCGCGUAAUGGCGGGGACUCGUGAGAGACUGCCGGGGUCAACUCGGAGGAAGGUGGGGACGACGUCAAGUCAUCAUGCCCCUUAUGUCCAGGGCUUCACACAUGCUACAAUGGCCGGUACAGAGGGCUGCGAUACCGUGAGGUGGAGCGAAUCCCUUAAAGCCGGUCUCAGUUCGGAUCGGGGUCUGCAACUCGACCCCGUGAAGUUGGAGUCGCUAGUAAUCGCAGAUCAGCAACGCUGCGGUGAAUACGUUCCCGGGCCUUGUACACACCGCCCGUCACGUCAUGAAAGUCGGUAACACCCG
rnacentral:rRNA from 3 species